rnacentral:rRNA from 1 species
UACGGAGGAUGCAAGCGUUAUCCGGAAUGAUUGGGCGUAAAGGGUCCGCAGGUGGCCAUGUGUGUCUGCUGUCAAAGAAUGAGGCUUAACCUCAUCAAGGCAGUGGAAACUACAUAGCUAGAGUACGGUCGGGGUAGAAGGAAUUCCUGGUGUAGCGGUGAAAUGCGUAGAUAUCAAGAGGAACACCUGCGGCGAAGGCGGGUUGCUGGGCCGACACUGACGCUGAAGCGCGAAAGCCAGGGGAGCGAACGGG